rnacentral:lncRNA from 1 species
UUGCUAAGGUUGCGUUUUGGUUCAGGUGUCAGUGAAAACGGCUUAUUUUAAAAAUAGAUAUAAAUUUAGGUAUAAGCAGAAAGUAUAUCAAUUUUGUGUUUGGAUAAAGAUUUGAUUAUUUCUUCUAGAAAUAAGUUAAUAGUAGUUAGAUGAUUAGAUUGGAACAAGAGGAAUAAGAGUUAUAAUUUUAAAUUAAAAUCAUGUUAUCUAAUUAAUUAAUACCAAAAUAUUAUUUAAAAAUAAUUUAAUAAAUUAAUAAUUUAUUAGCUAUGAAUAUUAUAUAAGAUAAUAAAAAUAUAUUAAUUAAUUAAUUAUAAAAAAUAAUUUAAUUUUUUAAUUAGUUAGUAAAUUAAUUUAGCUAGAUAACUAGUAAAAAAAUUAAUUAGAUUAAUAGAAAUAUUAACGAUUGAUCGAUAUAAAUAUUAGUUUAUAGAUAAAUACAUUAAAUUAUUAAUAAUUAAUUAUAAUUUAUUUAUUUAUUAUUCAGACAAUAAAUAAUAAUUUAAAUAUAUUAAUUAGAUUAACUAAUAGUUUAAUAUUAUAAUUAAAUUAAAUUUAGACUUUAAUUAAUCUUAUUUCCACCUGGGAACAAGCUUGUUCCAGAAAAGGAGUGGAACAGCAGUUCCAGUUUUAUACCGGUUUAUUCUAAAAAUUCGAGAGCUACUGGUUUCAGAUAUUUAACGCAACGUUUGGAAAUAAAGAGGGAGCAAGGACUUAUUCCUGUCUUUGUUCGAGUCUCGAACAAAGGGGGAUGUGUAUGUUAAUUGGUCAGUGAAAUAAAGAGGGAGCAAGGACUUAUUCCCGUCUUUGUUCGAGUCUCGAACAAAAGGGGAUGUGUAUGUUAAUUGGUCAGUGUUGGGAUACGGGAGGUACACGUAUAUUAUGUGUAACGACUCGACUCGCUAGCAAUAAUAACUCGUUGGGCCCAAACCACCGGCCCAAAAUGCUUAAGUCGGGUUAAGAGUUUAGCCCUAUUAUAUCUCAUAUAUAGGACUAUCUGGGGUCUCACAAUCUCCCCUCCUUUAAGCCCUGACGUCCUCGUCAGGCUCAGACUCACAAGUACCAGGCGAUGUGAGACUCAUCUCGCUAGCCCGUCAUCCAGACCCUGGCUCAGCCGAGACUCAUCUCACACUUCCGGCUGGUAAUUGGCUCUGAUACCAUCUGUGACGCCCCAACUUCCCAGGGGGUCACCCAUCCUAGGACUACUCCCGUCCUAGCACGCUUAACUCUCUUAACCUCUUGGGCCUUGCCACCACCCAAAAUGCUUAAGCCGGGUUAAGAGUUUAGCCCUAUUAUAUCUCAUAUAUAGGACUAUCUGGGGUCUCACAAUCUCCCCUCCUUUAAGCCCUGACGUCCUCGUCAGGCUCAGACUCACAAGUACCAGGCGAUGUGAGACUCAUCUCGCUAGCCCGUCAUCCAGACCCCGGCUCAGCCGAGACUCAUCUCACACUUCCGGCUGGUAAUUGGCUCUGAUACCAAUUGCAACGACCCGACCCAUUAGCAAUAAUAACUCGUUGGGCCAAACCACAGGCCCAAAAUGCUUAAGCCGGGUUAUUAUUAACUUUUCCAUCCGAUGUGGGAUUAUUGGGGUGUCACAGACUCCCCCGUUAAGGCCCUGACGUCCUCGUCAGUCCAAUCACACACACAGCCCAAGAUCACCAAGCGACCUCGUUAGUCCAAUCACACACACAGCCCAAGAUCACCAGGCGAUGUGAGACCCUGACGUUCUCGUCAGUCCAAUCACACACACAGCCCAAGAUUAUCAGGCGAUGUGAGACUCGUCUCGCUAGCCCGUCAUCCAGACCCUGGCUCAGCCGAGACUCGCCACACAUGUCCAGCUGGUGAACCGGCUCUGAUACCAAAUGUAACGACACAUCCCCUAGCAAUAAUAACUCGUUUGGCCCAAACCACCGGCCCAAAAUGCUUAAGCCCAGUUAUUAUUAUUAGCGUGUAGGUCUCAUAUAAACUGAUCGGAAUCAGUAUCCCAUCUGAUGUGGGACUAUUGGGAGCGUUACAAACUCUCCUGGUUUAGACCCUGACGUCCUCGUCGGGUCCAAAUCAGAUCACAGACAGACAUACCAGGACCAUUACCAGGCGAUAUGAGAUUCUAGAGAUGGCUCCUACGGGUUCAAGAGGUGGCUCCCACCAAACCCGUUGGUGUAGCACUUUGUCCCGCAUAGCACUUAGUUCUCACACUUCCGGCUGGUAUUCGGCUCUGAUACCAAUUGCAACGACCCGAUCCGUUAGCAACAAUAACUCGUUGGGCCAAACCACCGGCCCAAAAUGCUUAAGCCGGGUUAUUAUUACUAGCUAUAAACUGAUCAGAAUCAGUAUCCCAUCUGAUGUGGAACUAAUCUCAUAUAAACUGAUCAGAAUUAGUAUCCCAUCCAAUGUGGGACUAUUGAAGCGUUACAAACUCCCCCUGUUUAGACCCUGACGUCCUCAUCGGGUCCAAACCAGAUCACAGACACACAGACAGAUCAGAAUUUCCAGGCGAUGUGAGAUUCUAGAGGAUCACAGACACACAGACAGAUCAGGACCAGAAUUUUCAGGCGAUGUGAAAUUCUAGAGAUGGCUCCUACGGGUUCAAGAGGUGGCUCCCACCAAAUCCAUUGGUGUAGCACUUUGUCCCGCAUAGAACUUAGUUCUCACACUUCUGGCUGGUAUUCAGCUCUGAUACCACUAAAGCUGUCACGCCCCAGAUCCGACUGCUCGGAUCUGAACCGCAACAACCGGCCACGAAUUCAGAGGAAGAACCUCCGAAAACGGAAGGCCUUAAAUUGAUCCAAAGCCACCAUCUCAGUUAUUGUUGCUGGCAUUUUGGGCCGGUGGUUUGGCCCAACGAGUUAUUGUUGCUAACGAGUCGGGUCGUUACAAUUGGUAUCAGAGCCGAAUACCAGCCGGAAAUGUGAGAACUAAGUGCUAUGCGGGACAAAGUGCUACACCAACGGAUUUAGUGGGAGCCACCUCUUGAACCCGUAGGAGCCACCUCUAGAAUCUCAUAUCACCUGGUUUAGACCCGACGAGGACGUCAGGGUCUAAACAAGGGGAGUUUGUAACGCCCCCAAUAGUCCCAAAUCAGAUGGGAUACUGAUUCCGAUCAGUUUAUAUGAGACCUACACGCUAGUAAUAAUAACUGGGCUUAAGCAUUUUGGGCCGGUGGUUUGGGCCAAACGAGUUAUUAUUGCUAGGGGUCGGGUCGUUACAUUAUGUAUAUCAAAAACUUUUGGCUGAUUUGAAAAAAAUAAUCAAAUUAAUCUUUUUCGUAAAUUAUUUUCUUUUAUGACAAGAGACAUAUAUUGCACAUGCACAUUGACUAUUGUUUGGAUGGUUAAUGUCAACUUCUAAGGUUGCUAUCUGCAACUGCACCAUUGUCCAGGGGGGUCAGUGCAUUAAUUUAUCCCAUAUCAAUUUAGUCCACAUGGUUUUAAAACUUAUACUUGGGGGGUCUACUGUUUAAUAAAUAUAACAACUAUGUCCUUCCUGCUUUCGCUAGUGAAAUAAAAAAAAAUAAAGAAUAAAUUUCAAAUACCACUCAUGUGAUUUCGCACUUUCUCAUUUUAGUAUUCUGUAAUUUAAAAUGUAUCAAUUUAGUACCCAGUGGUUUCAUUUUUUUUUUCUUUUCAUCCGCUCCUCCGCUAACAUUUCGUUAAAUUAUAUAUAAAAAACUUUAGAUACCCCACUUAGUACCUUUCAAUUUUUAAUUUUGUCACCAAUUUAAUGAAAAAAAAUUAGUGGAGGGAAUAAUAAAAAGAGAAAUGAAACCACGGGAUACUAAAUUGAUAUAUUUUAAACUACAAUGUACUAAAAUAAAAAAGUGCCAAACCACAGAGAUGUUAUUUGAAGUUUUUCCAAAAAUAAAAGAGCAAUACUACUGUUACACCCAAAGUGAGGUGUAUAUUUUAUAUAUGCACUCUAUCUAAGGGCUAUUAAUUAUUUAUUUAUCACAUCAAUUUUUGUGUAAAUAUUUUUACCUAUGAGAUUAUUAUUUUAUUUGAAAAAAUAUUUAAUGGCCAAAUAUAGUAUUCAAUUCUAGACAUGUCAUCACACUCAUCAUUUACAAAAUGUAUAGAUAUUUUGAUCUUUGUUUGAAUGUUGGAAUAAGUUAUUUUUGAAUAACUUAUUCAACAUGAAAUUUUAUUUUUUUGGAGACAAAACGGUUAAUUUUUGUUGGAACAAAUACCGCAACGAAAAUCCGAUUGUGAUUAAAAAUCUAACUAAUUUGUAAUAAAGAUAAAAUCAAACUUACAGAUAAAAAAAUAAAAGAUGAAUAGAUAAGAAUUAACAAAUUAUCUAAAUCCCAUUCUCAAUAGGGAAAAAAGGAGAUAAUAUAUGAAAAAGGGAAAAAAGAGAAUUCACACGAGAAAGGAGCGGAACCGCGCAAAGGAAUGGAAUUCCGUUUGGCGCAAGAAACAAAACAGAAAUAUUCCGUUAGUUUCUUUUUCAUUAAGAAAAAUAAUAAAAUAAAUAAAUAAAUAAAUAAAAUAAUAAAUAAAUUUAAAGUUUAAAUAAAAUAAAUUCAACCUCAAAAAUUUGAGUUUUCCACCAACAAUUUUUACUUCUUAAAACAUCUUAUCAUUC